GAUAACCUCACCCUAACUGAUUUAAAAUUCAAAAACCCUGACUUGGCAUGCAUUCAGGUUGCAAGUUGAGUUCCGGCCACUGGAGACCACCAUUCAAGAGUGAGUCUUCUUCUAUUCCAAACUACUCACCCAUUUUCACCCUCUUCGCCUCCUGCCUCUAUGGAAGUUCAAAUAGAAAUUGGUUGUGAGAGAUGGGAGUGACCCUUAGACCUGACAUUAUCUUCCAUCUGCUGAGGAAACAGUUUUUGAAUAACCUCUGAUUUUGGGCUAGAGUUGAAAGGAUCAUUGAAGGUGCCCACAAGACAACAAGAGAGAAAUAAAUUUAUGGAUUCAGGUUUAUCUUGAUGCGCCAGAUUUGGCCAACUCUAUUUGCAUGUAACAUCCAAAAAUGUCUUCCUGGGGUUAGUGAAUCUUUAAAGAACUGGGUUCGAGGGCUUACCUAAGAAUCUAAGAAUCUUUGAAGCAUUUUCAGACCAGCCAAGAUUAGAAUAAGCCUCUGGAAUAAUAAUAGCACUUUUUUGUCUCCCCUCUAAGUUUUAAUUCGUAUAAAACGCCCAUAAACAUAGUAAUUUUAAUAAACUCUAUGUAGAUUACUCUGUUUCUUUCUUCCCCAUCUCCUGUAGAGGUUUCCAAAGCUUCGAGAAGCCUGCUGUAGUAUAUUUCAUACCCAUCUCAGGUUGCUUUCGUCAAUUUUUAUUUUGCUGGAGAAAUAGUUGCUCUGUUUACUGAAUUGGAACCACCUAAUCUGGACUUCGCUAAUAUCCUUAAUUUUAAAAGACUUUAUCAACUGAAAAGAAGAAACAACUCCCACCAAUAAUAAAGCAGAAAGAAAGAGAGAAAAGAGGGAGGGGAGAAAUUUCCAGCAGUCGGACUGAUUAUCGGAGAGAAACUAAGGCCCAGAAGAGACAUCGAAAACUGUGCCUGGGAUGGGAGCAUUUUGACAUAGCUACGUGAUCAUGUAAAUUGUUGGUUAUGUUGGUUAGCUCCCUUUUUAGUCAAUCUUGAAAAGUGGCCAUGCUCCUUUUUGGUAACUAGACUUUUUGGAAGCCUUUUGUUCUUUUACUAUUUUGGUGUUGUCUUGAAACUGUUUUCAAGACAAACAAGAAGUCACACUCCUCUUUUCUUGACUUAAGAUCAAACAACCUCUUUUGAAGUUUCUUCUUCAACACAACAUAAGAAUAUCAAGAACAACAACAACAAUAGCCGUCCAUAAGGUUCAAUAACUUGAAAAUUUAGCUCAAGAACUUGGAUCUAGACUCAAGAAGUGCUAGUGAACAAAAAGCUAACACAAGAAACUACCAAAACACAUAAAGGACACCUAGAUCUAUGCUUUAAAUCUUGGCCAAGACAUACAACAAGAGCAACAACCCUUCGGCCAAGAUACAACACAAGACAACUACCUUUUAUUUUUGAAUUUUCAAGCAAGCAUGCCAAAAAUUGAUCUCGUGAGAACAAAAUCAGCCUCGCUCUGAUACCAAAUGAUAAUGAAACGACCAUGAAACACAUGAACCAGCACAAAACAACACAGAAACAACCAACACAAGCAAGCCGAGAGCAACAACAACAACUAGCUACGACAACCAAGAACAAUAAGAGAGAAACCAAGAAUGAGAUAUUAACAACAAUGGCAGCAACACAAACAUGAGACAAGAAACACAACAAAUGCAUAAAAAUAAAGGAUAGGCAAGAUGACAUAAGAAAUUACGAAGACGUAAGAACCCAUCGUGUAUCAAACGUAAAGACCCUUACACUUGCAAAUCCAAACAUUAAUUUUCUUACGGUAACCACUAAGGGAAUCAACAUUACCUCACAACCACCGUUUCUAAACAAUGAACAAUAUCGGUUUUUCCAAGCCCUACACUAAAAUUGGCUUUUCCAAGCCCUACACUAAGAACUCUCUCUAAGAGAGGUGAAACUCUCAAGGUAUUUCAAUAUUUCAUCAUCAAUCAAAAACUAAAGAAGAGAAAUGACCUAAGUUACCUACUUAUAGUUAUUACAAAUUGAAGGUAAAAUGACCUAUACAGCCUUAAUGAAUUGGUGCCUAUGGAGUGUCAUGGAGUGACUUAAAAUGACCAAGACACCCUUAUUGAAGGGGCGGUCUUGGAGUGUUAAGACACUAGUCCAGGGUCGUCUCUUCAGUGCUCCAAACCAUGGCGGUGGUUGAUACUUCAACAACACUUGUAGGUCUCGGGCACUAAGACAAGCUCCAAGAGACCUUCCACACUCGGCAUUGCCCCAUCAAAUGCCCAAAAUGGUCUCUACAUGCAUGUUUUUGCGUCCUCGGGGUGACCAAAGCUUGAGUCCUUUUGUGUUGGCCUCCAAUGGCGUCUAAGUCUAGCUGCUCAGCGACAAGAAUUGAGUGAGGCAUGUCAAAGCCACUUUAGGACCUAACUUUUUAAAAAAUAUAUAUAUAUAAUGAAACGAAAAAAAUGUACUAUCCGUGGAUCAUAUUGUAGAAGAUUUAAUAUUCUCUUAUGUAUAUAAAAGUUUAUCUAAACUUAUGUUUGAACAAACGUAUUUUGAUUAUUGAAAAGUCAACAUGAAAAGUUUUUUUGGGGAUAGACAGAGUAUUUAGAAGAGCAAAAGAGGGUCCCAUGUGAUUUUAUAUGGCAUAGUAUAUUUAAGAAUUCUUUUUAGGAAGGACACUAUUUUGGGAUGAACUUAAAUUGGAAGGUGGGAAUUCAAUUUGAAGUGGAGAAUAUAUAACAUCUAAGAGUUUUAGAAUAUUUACUACAGCUAGUCAAAUUUUGUUCACAAAAUUGUACAGUAAGAGACCACUUUUUCUGAAUGUGCAAGUCUUCAGGGCAAAAGAUGUAAUUUAACACAAUUUUCAAGUCUGAGACAGUUAGGUGUAAUUUGCACAAAUAGAAUAGAGGUCCUUCAGAUAAUGGAAAAGUAGAUGUAUGGUCAGUAUAAGCAGUCAAGUAUGAAAUAUCAUGGAUGCCUAUGAGCUGUAUUCAUUAAGCUUAAUAUAGACAGGGUGGACCAGUAGACCCGCAGAGGCUUCUCGUAUUUGAAGAUGCACCCUCUGGUGUCCUUGUGGCCAAGAAUGCUGGAAUGUAAGUCCAUCACCAAAAUUUAAUGUCUGCUGAUUUUUUCUCGAUUUUGUGCAUUUAAAAUUGCUUAAGAAAACUACAUACUUUUGAAAUAAGUGCCUCUUUGGUUGAGUGAAAUUUCUUCAUGCACUUCAUAUGUCCAUCGUUUUAAGGAGUUUAUUGGUAUUAACUCUCCUAGGAAAAUGAGUUAAAGGGAUACAUGAGAAUUGAAUGAAUUAAAAGGAACAAAUAAUCUAGUCAAAGUUAAUUAAGUGAAUUUGGGACGUAAUUAUAAUUUGUAAAACAUUGAGAACAAGUAUAUUCAAAAAAAUAUAUCCUUUUUUAUAUUUCAAACUUUCUAUUCCUUCCCUUCUCUUUUUCCUUCUCUCCUUCUUCAUCUUCUUCCUUAUCUUCUUUGCCAUUUUUUUCUUUUUCUUCUGUGUUCUUAUCCUUUGCCUUAUCCUCUUACCAUUUAUUUUUCCUUAUGAAGGGGAGUCUCGGAGUAACUGAUAAAGUUGGUAAAGUUGUUGUCAUGUGACCAGGAGGUCAUGGGUUCAAGCCUUGAAAGCAGCCUCUAGCAGAAAUAUAAGCAGUGAAAUUCAACCAUAAUCAUGCACUAUUGUUAUAUUCCUUCGAUACUGUGGGAGCUCCGCUGAUCCUGAUGCAAUUAAUAGGAUUGGACAAUUACUUAGGGCAAUGCAUAUCCAAUUGCUUGGGAAGAACAAGCAUGGGAUAUUUGAUGGCACUUGGAAACAGUAGGAUUUUGCACAGGAAUUAGGGCACCAGUGGGAUCGUCGUAAUGCAGUGGUUUAGGGAUGGAUCAUGAGUUCCGUUACACUAGAUUUGCACACUGGAAUUGUCUAUGCUUCGAGUGCGAAGGCGGUUUGGGAUGAUCUGUGUGAACGCUUUGAUAAGGUAAACACAUCAAGAUGGUAACUAGAGAUUGUAUGGUCACUUAUUCAAUCUAGUAAUUGUAUGGUCACUUAUUCAAGAAAGUUAGAGAAUGUAUUGUAUGUUCCAGAUUUUCAAUAUAACCUGUUAUCAAUUUCCAAGGUAACUAGAGAGCUCAACUAUUUUGUAUCAUUACCUUGGGUUCUGUUUGUUCUCGGACCUUUCUAGUGGAAAAUUAAUGGUGAUUGAUAAGGAGCUUGAUGGUCUCUA